UACGUAGGGGGCAAGCGUUGUCCGGAAUUAUUGGGCGUAAAGAGCGCGUAGGCGGUCCGAUAAGUCGGCUGUGAAAGUCAGGGGCUCAACCCUUGAAAGCCGGCCGAUGACUGUCGGACUAGAGUCCGGAAGAGGCGAGUGGAAUUCCCGGUGUAGCGGUGAAAUGCGCAGAUAUCGGGAGGAACACCAAUGGCGAAGGCAGCUCGCUGGGACGGUACUGACGCUGAGGCGCGAAAGCGUGGGGAGCAAACAGGG
rnacentral:rRNA from 1 species